GAUGAAGAACGUAGUGAAAUGCGAUAAUUAAUGUGAAUUGCAGAAUUCAGUGAAUCAUCGAGUCUUUGAACGCACAUUGCGCCCCCUGGUAUUCCGGAGGGCAUGUCUGUCCGAGCGUCAUUAGUCCAAUCUCAAGCCCGGCUUGUCGUUGGGUCGCACCGCCCGGGGCGGUGGACCCGAAAUAUAAUGACGGGGUCUAGCGGACCGUGGGCGCAGCGAGCUUUUACAGCACGCGUCCCGGCGUCAUCUAGACGCGUCUCCAACCAUACUCUCUGUAGGUUGACCUCGGAUCAGACAGGAUUACCCGCUGAACUUAAGCAUAUCAAUAAGCGGAGGA
rnacentral:misc_RNA from 1 species